ensembl:miRNA mdo-mir-7323 mdo-mir-7323
UUACAGAAUUGUGUGACAGGUUGUGCUUAGUGUUAAAACAGCUGUCACCUGGGUUCUGUAACC